UUGGUCAUGCUAGAAAGAGCGUAUGGUGGAUGCCUUGGCACUAAGAGCCGAUGAAAGACGUGAUAAGCUGCGAAAAGCUUCGGGGAGGAGCAAAUAUCCUUUGAUCCGGAGAUCUCUGAAUGGGGAAACCCACUUGAGCAAACCUCAAGUAUCCUAACGCCAAUACAUAACGUUAGGA
rnacentral:rRNA from 1 species